GGAGGGUUACACAAGAUGAGCAGAGGCAGCUAUGGAGAGCACGAGGCUGGAAUGUCAGGAUGACGAAGGCAAGGAGGAGGAUUUCCAAGACCAUGAGGAUCAAAGACUGAGGGGGAAGUGUCUGGAUGAUAUUGUGGAGCCAGACUGGCAGGAUGACAGAGUGGAGAGGCUAAGGGAGACAUGGGGAAAUGCCGUAGGUGGGAACUUCAGGCAGAAGCACACCAGCGAGGGCAAAGCUGGCUGGGAGUAGGGGAGGAUAGCUUGGAAGGGGAAGGCGGGGAGAUUGGAAGACAGAGUUCCCAGGAUGAAAGGCAGCGGAUUAGGGGUGUAGUGGCGUUGGUGAGAACUUGAAUUGCUGAGUUUCUCUUUGUGUUUUGAAUCUAACCUUAUUUUUCAAAUCUACUCCUUACCCUUCCUUUCACUAAUGGUAACUUAGCCAAAAUAUGCAUCACUUUCAAUGGUAUAAAAUGUCUGCAGAAACGUGAACUCUGCACAUGCACAGAGGCUAUGUCAGCUUAAAAACAAAAAGAGAAAAGGGGGGAGAAAGGAGGUUUGGAGAGAGUGGACUGCAGGGAUUGUGUACAAUUCGAAACCAUUGAGGGAGAUCAGCUUUAUGUAUCCUUUGCUCAUUGCCAAGUUCUUUUCUAACAUACCAAGUGCUUUUCACAGACGCGAUGAUGGGGAACCCUAAGCCCAACUCCUCCUGACUACAAGACUAUUUAUUACCUGCAGCAGCAGCAACAACAACAACAAAGACACAGGAGCCUGGCCACAACUCUUUCCUUUCAAAGGAUAAUGACUGAGAUGGAGUGGGGCUAACGAAGGGGGGAGGAGUUGAAUUGUAAGGGCAUUUUUGUCACUUUUGAACCUCAAGACUGUGCUCCAGGAUUGACAAGAAGAUCACAAUUGCCUCAAGAUAUGCAACUGAUGUCUAAUUAGUUUGUCGUGUAUUACGUGUUAUUUAUGUAGGAAUGUUGGAAUAUGUUUGACAGUGUGUUAUUUCCACGGAAAGGAAAAGAAUUUUUAUGUGUAAUUUUCUGGUUGUUGUUGUUUAAUGUAUAGUGUCUUAUUGCUUACACCCCUGUGGAGGAUUCUCAUGCUUUCUAAUGGUUCAGGCUAUUGUGUAAUCCACUCUUUAGAUUUGAUCACUGAAAAAUAUGGUAUUUUGUUAGUUGCUCCUUGGGACUUUUUAUCAACAAGUGCCUUUGAAAUGUUUUAAAUAAAAAUUGAGGUGUACUUAACAGUA